GCUCCUGCGGCCCCUGCCGUGUUCCCUCCCUGCCCGGGGCUUCUCGCCCCCUCGGGCGGCGGCGCGCCGCUCUUCCUGCCCUCGGGAGAAACCGUUUCCAGGAAUUGAGGGGCUGCUGAGGCAGGAAAUCCUGCGGGGCCUAAAGAGGGGAGCGGCUGCGCUGGCGGGGCCGGGAUCGAGCAUCCCCGCAGGGGGGAGGUGCCCUGACCCCCUUCGGUAUGACCAGCAGGGACACCCACGACCUGUAUCUCAAUCUGAAGGACUUUAACGAUGUAUGAUCUGGUGAUAAAGAGUCUUCAAUGAGGUUCUACUCCUGGAAGAUGAGAACAAAUGUAUUUCUCUGAUCUACCACAGUAAAAAAAUCACUCAACAGUAACACUGAAGCUAUUGUUAUCCACCAUCUUCAUCAAAGUCUUAGGAGGAAAGAUAUAAGAAUGACUUGGUGAGCUGGAAACAAACUUUAAAAAUGAAAGUGAGCCAAUUUUAGUAAAAUAGUUGGUAAAAUUAUGGAUUCUCUAACUCUUGGUAUAUUUAAUCAAGUCUGGAUGCCUUCUGGAAAAUAUUUGGAUGAACACCAGUUUUGUCAGCAAUAUAGAUGGCAAACUAUAUGACAUUUAUUUCAGUGACAUACUAAACAAUCUUUGACUCAUGGAGUCAGGUCAAAGAAUAAAUUAAAAUUAAUCUAGCUAUUUUUACCCAUAUUGCUACAUAUGAAAUGUUUGUGACUUAGUGAUUCAAAAAUUCCCAAAGCCUCCAAAACCCCACCAUCUCUUCAGUGAAGAGUUCUGUGGCACACUCGGAUGCCUGCCAUUGACUACGUCACAACUCAGCAAGGGUAGGUAGGAGAAAUGGGACUGGGCACAGUGUACCUGCUCAGUCACGCUGCAUAAAAGUGUGCAUCUAGGCUCACCUCCAGGGUAGAACAGGACAUGGCAUGCCUUGGAACUCACUGAAAUAACAUGGGUGGGAGAAGAGCUUAAGCUCAGGGAUUGGUGCGAGUUGCAACUCAUGCCCCAAAUAUAGUGUAGAUCUGCCUUAUGCAUGAUUUUGUAGGUUCUGGAAAACCUGGAGUGGUGAACUGUCAGUGAUAAAAUUUUACAGCUCAGGAUUUACAAGCCAUUGUCAGGUCUUGCAUUUUCAGAGUAGUCGUUUGUGUUUAUUAUAUGCUAUCUUAAAGCAUUACAUGUCCAUCUCUUUGUAGUCCAGUGGGCAGCCAUCCCAUGCCAAGUUCAUGAAAACUGUGUAAUUGCUUGCUGUCUCUAGUUUCCUUUGCAGACUAUAAAAAAUAAAAGAUGGUAAGUCAUGAAGUCCAUCUCCUUGCUUGAAAAUGGCUUGAACUGUAGCAACAAUAGCCUUAAGAACCAUGGAUGGAGAAUUAUUGGCUGAAAGUAGGAUGAAAAGGUUGUAAAAGAUGCAGCUAUUCUUUUUGCUUUACAAAAGGCAUUGAAAUACACAUUCAGACAAUUUUGUAUGGCUUAGAACUGGGUCAGCUGCAUACGCAUGAGCAAAUUUGAUCACAGCUCUGGGUUUGUUUGCUCAGUUGCUCCUGGAAAUCCAUCAGUAUCUAUAAAAAUGCACAGUAGUACAGCAGAUAAUAUCGCAGUACAGGGCAACUUGUUCUCAUUCAUAACUGAAUGUUCCCAUGUAUCAUCAUCAAAAACUCAUGGGCAUAAUAGGAAUAGCAGGAGUCAGAGCUUAUCACAGCACAAAACCAUGGUCUUGUGGUCAUGAAUAAUAAACAACCUGUAUCUGAGCAUGUGAGUCAUAUCCUCUGCAUUUAGCACUUGCAAGAUAAGUGGUUGGUUGCAUCAUAGCA